rnacentral:ncRNA from 1 species
GUAAAUGCAACGAAAGAUCGAAGUAGUUUUGCAAAUCCAUUUUAAAGAGAGUUAGCGGGUGGUGGAAGCUAACAUACAUUUGCAAGCGAAUUACAAUCUGGAGCUUUUUCUACUUAGUAGAAACGGUGAAACCCCCAUCGUUAAAAACCCCAAAGUGGCAUUUCUAUGCAACAAGGGUGGUACCGCGAAUAAACUCUCGUCCCUUUA